rnacentral:rRNA from 1 species
GCGGAGGAUCAUUACUGAAGAAAUGAUAGGGUUGAGCUGACUCCUUCGGGGGUAUGUGCUUGCGCUAUCGCUUUUUCUAUUCUCCCCUGUGAACCUUUUGUAGACUGUUUUUAUGAUAUUCGACUCCUCUGGAGCUCAUUGGAGACUCGCAUUUCUUUUGAUGCUUGACUCUGCCCUUAUCAUAUAUCAGUCUAUGAUUUUUAUACAUCUACUCUUCUGUUUAUGAAUGUCUUUAUUGUUGGUUUCAUUACCAAUAAAUUAUUAUACAACUUUCAGCAACGGAUCUCUUGGCUCUCGCAUCGAUGAAGAACGCAGCGAAAUGCGAUAAGUAAUGUGAAUUGCAGAAUUCAGUGAAUCAUCGAAUCUUUGAACGCACCUUGCACUCCUUGGUAUUCCGAGGAGUAUGCCUGUUUGAGUGUCAUUAAAUUCUCAAACUUCUUCUCUUUUGAGGAGACAGUUUGGAUGUGAGAGUUGCUGGUUCUUGUUAUCAGCUCUCUUUAAAUGCAUUAGUAGUUUGGCUUUGUCCCACAUUCUCAAUUGAUGUGAUAGUUUAUCUACAUCACUAGAGAAUGAAUCUGCUUUCCAACCUUUGUCGGUCUGCUUCGGACUUGACACAUUGACAAUUUGACCUCAAAUCAGGUAGGACUACCCGCUGAACUUAA